CUCCUGAUGCCUCCCAAGCCUA
rnacentral:miRNA from 2 species